UCCGUCGUAGCUCAAUUGGUAUAGAGCAUCGGACUCGCGCUUCGAAGGUUGUGGGUUCGGAUCCCACUGAGGGGAA